rnacentral:lncRNA from 1 species
GGACUCGUUGCGGUAGUGUCUCCAGAUUGUCUUUGCAGGUUAUGGAGCGAGUUAUAGAUCGAUUAUUAGACGUCAUUCUGUUCCCGUCUUUCUGCUCACCGGCCAGGUAUGAGGUCCUCACCGAUCUUUGCACUUAGUCGGUUUCAGUGCUGCUAGAGUUUGUACAGCGGUUAUGGAGCGAUCUUCACAGGGUUUGUGUUAUAUACCCAUCUCCUUUAGCACUUGGCGCCUAUUUGAUUGAUGCGGUUAUAAGUUUCG